UACGAAGGGGGCUAGCGUUGCUCGGAAUCACUGGGCGUAAAGCGCACGUAGGCGGAUCUUUAAGUCAGGGGUGAAAUCCUGGAGCUCAACUCCAGAACUGCCUUUGAUACUGGGGAUCUCGAGUCCGGAAGAGGUGAGUGGAACUCCGAGUGUAGAGGUGAAAUUCGUAGAUAUUCGGAAGAACACCAGUGGCGAAGGCGGCUCACUGGUCCGGUACUGACGCUGAGGCGCGAAAGCGUGGGGAGCGAACCGG
rnacentral:rRNA from 1 species